CGGCUCAGUUUGUCACCUUACUUGUUGAGGACGGAAGCAUGCCACUGCUAUUCAGCUAGCUGACUGCCUGGUGCAUGACAGCAGCCUGCAACAAGAGUCAGAAAGUAAAAAUCCACGUGUAUACUAACAGUCUGGAGAAGGCCAUUAUCGAAAGAAAAUGGACAUUGACAUGGACACCUGGAACAGGAACCAGGAGUCACCUUGCAAAAGUGUCAUAGCAGUGAGAGAUCCUAUGAGAGCCAAGGAGGUCACACUGGCCCAGAGGGAGAGGACAGCACUGCUGUGGUGACGGUGGCUUGCACCCAGGGCCAGGGCCAGGCUCCGAGUGGGGGCGAGGGUCACCUUUGGAAUCGGAAUCGGUUCUUGCUUUAAGAGCAGAAAGAACACCCUGGACAUGAGUCAGUGCACACACAAACAGACAUUCUCCCCACGAGGGAACUGGCUGCUCUCCUUCUGUUUCAGCUUUCGUAAUCUCACAUCCACGUACAUGGCACAGAUGGCCCUGAUGAAACGAGGCUUUCUAGGGACGUUCCAAGCUGACUCAGUAAGAGGUCAAGUAUUUUAUUCAGCCCUGCUCUUUCAGUUGUUUAAGGUUGGGGGGGGAACACUUGUGCUUUCAUUUACAGCAUGACAAUGUUUGAAACAAUAUUUUAAAAGUUUCCAUCAGUUAUAAAACGCAAGUUAACCUUCAUGAAAUGUCAUGGAAAACAAGAAAAAUCUUGGGAGUUUUAAGAAUCACAGGUAAAAAGUGAAUUUGAUUCCCUCAAUUGUGCAUCAAACUCUUUGUCUAAAUUAAACUGAACAGAUGUGGAAAACAUGAGUCAGGGGCUCCCCGUUUAAUUCUAAAUGAGCUUUCAGGUUCCGCUUCCUAUGGCUGAUUUUAGCCUAAGCCAUCUUAUUGCCUAAAAUCUGCAACUUGAUACUAAAAGCUUGUCAAAAUUAAGUGCAUGCUUUAUACGUUUACAUUUUUACAGUCUAAGUGUUUUUCUUUGAUA